UGAGCAAUCUGCCCUUCUCAUCGGAAUAACCAUUGGAAACGAUGGCUAAUGCCGAAUAUGACCUCGGAACACAUGUUCUGAGGUGGAAAGCUCCGGCGGAGAAGGAUGAGCUCGCGGCCUAUCAGCUUGUUGGUGAGGUAAUGGCUCACCAAGGCAUUGACGGGUAGCCGGCCUGAGGAGGGUGACCGGCCACACUGGGACUGAGACACCGGCCCAGACCUCCGG
rnacentral:rRNA from 1 species